rnacentral:rRNA from 1 species
UACGUAAGGGGCAAGCGUUGUCCGGAAUCAUUGGGCGUAAAGAGCGUGUAAACGGCUCGAUAAGUCCGCUGUGAAAGUCCAAAGCUCAACCCUGGAAGGCCGGUGGAAACUGUCGGGCUAGAGUCCGGAAGGGGCGAGCGGAAUUCCCGGUGUAGCGGUGAAAUGCGCAGAUAUCGGGAGGAACACCAAUGGCGAAGGCAGCUCGCUGAGACGGUACUGACGCUGAGACGCGAAAGCGUGGAGAGCAAACAGG